GAUGAACGCUGGCGGCGUGCCUAAUACAUGCAAGUCGAGCGAACAGACGCGGAGCUUGCUCCUCUGACGUUAGCGGCGGACGGGUGAGUAACACGUGGAUAACCUACCUAUAAGACUUGGAUAACUUCGGGAAACCGGAGCUCCUACCGGAUACUAUCUUGAACCGCAUGGUUCAAUAGUGAAAGACGGUUUUGCUUUCACUUAUAGAUGGAUCCGCGCGGCAUUAGAUAGUUGGUAAGGUAACGGCUUACCAAGGCCACGAUGCGUAGCCGACGGGAGAGAGUGAUCGCCCACACGAGAGCGUGGACACGGACAUUACGCCUACGGGAGGCAGCAGAAGGGAAUCUGACGCAGUGGGCGAAAGCCUGACGGAGCAACGCCGCGUGAGUGAUGAAGGUCUUCGGAUCGUAAAACUCUGUUAUGAGGGAAGAACAAAUGUGUAAGUAACUAUGCACGUCUUGACGGUACCUAAACAGAAAGCCACGGCUAACUACGUG
rnacentral:rRNA from 1 species